GUGGGGAAUAUUGGACAAUGGGCGAAAGCCUGAUCCAGCCAUGCCGCGUGUGUGAAGAAGGUCUUCGGAUUGUAAAGCACUUUAAGUUGGGAGGAAGGGCAGUAAGUUAAUACCUUGCUGUUUUGACGUUACCGACAGAAUAAGCACCGGCUAACUUCGUGCCAGCAGCCGCAGUAAUACGAAGGGUGCAAGCGUUAAUCGGAAUUACUGGGCGUAAAGCGCGCGUAGGUGGUUCAGCAAGUUGGAGGUGAAAUCCCCGGGCUCAACCUGGGAACUGCCUCCAAAACUACUGAGCUAGAGUACGGUAGAGGGUAGUGGAAUUUCCUGUGUAGCGGUGAAAUGCGUAGAUAUAGGAAGGAACACCAGUGGCGAAGGCGACUACCUGGACUGAUACUGACACUGAGGUGCGAAAGCGUGGGGAGCAAACAGGAUUAGAUACCCCUGUAGUCC
rnacentral:rRNA from 1 species